rnacentral:sRNA from 1 species
CACGCGUUAGGGAUUGAAGUGGCAUCCUUUUUAAAAAAUUACAAUAAACGCGUCAUUACGAGGAGAAACGACGAAGUAAUCUCAUUAGAUUAAGAGAUUUCCUUAGUUUAUAAGAAAGGAAACUUCGUAAUGACAUUUUUAAAAAGAUAUAACGGAAAGCCCGCUCGAAC